rnacentral:rRNA from 1 species
CCUACGGGUGGCAGCAGUGGGGAAUAUUGGACAAUGGGGGGAACCCUGAUCCAGCGACGCCGCGUGAGUGAAGAAGUAUUUCGGUAUGUAAAGCUCUAUCAGCAGGGAAGAAAGAAAUGACGGUACCUCACUAAGAAGCCCCGGCUAACUACGUGCCAGCAGCCGCGGUAAUACGUAGGGGGCAAGCGUUAUCCGGACUUACUGGGUGUAAAGGGAGCGUAGACGGCGAGGCAAGUCUGAAGUGAAAGGCGGGGGCUCAACCUCCGGACUGCUUUGGAAACUGUGUGGCUGGAGUGCAGGAGAGGUAAGUGGAAUUCCUAGUGUAGCGGUGAAAUGCGUAGAUAUUAGGAGGAACACCAGUGGCGAAGGCGGCUUACUGGACUGUAACUGACGUUGAGGCUCGAAAGCGUGGGGAGCAAACAGGAUUAGAUACCCGAGUAGUC